UGUUACUAAUGAUAUUAACUAUAUACCUGUGGUGACGAUGGCCUUUAUUCAACCAUUAGUCCAUCAGUGGCCU